AGUGGCUCAGGAGUCUGUUUGGCUGAGGGUAGUCACAGAGCUGAGCAGACCCAGGGUGAGCCUGCGGAAUCAAAAUAUAAAGAAAACAGGAAAGAUCCUCAGUGGGUUUUGGCAUUUGUACUUCGUCUUCUUGGCAGACUUUGAGCAUCAAGAGAGCAACUGUAGCACAAAUCCAGGGGAGAAGAGGUCUGCCAAAUCAUUACUUUCCAGCUUUCUUCAGAGGUUUUAUUGGAUAUGUCUUGGGUUUUGCUCCUUUUUGAACUUUCUACAGUUGAUCCAGCUCUACUGUUGUGCCCAAAUCUGAUGUAGUACUCCAGCUGAGCCCCACUGACGUUGCAGACUUCAGGAUCUUUGGAAGAAAAAAAUGCUCUCCAUCUUCAUAGCAAAGUGAGAAGUGAUCAUUAAGUAUUUUGGGGAUGAAAUUUUUUUGGCAACUUAAUUUAAGCAAAAUUCAUCCUUAAACCUCUAAUUUCUUUCUACAAGAAGGAUCAAUGCUGAAAUACAUAAGAAGAGAGGCUGUCCUGGAAAAGUGAGAAAGAGUGUGCAGAAAGAAACUAUGCCCAGAUGAAUCCACUGUGCCCUGUUUGGCAUAAAACAUAGGAGAAGCACAAAGGAGAUAUCAAUAUUUUGCUUCUGCUUUUUUUAAAGGAAAUAAAAUCCUAAUGAAAUAGAAC
rnacentral:lncRNA from 13 species